AACGAACGCUGGCGGCAUGCCUAACACAUGCAAGUCGAACGAGACCUUCGGGUCUAGUGGCGCACGGGUGCGUAACGCGUGGGAACCUGCCCUUAGGUUCGGAAUAACUCCCCGAAAGGGGUGCUAAUACCGGAUAAUGUCUUCGGACCAAAGAUUUAUCGCCCUUGGGUGGGCCCGCGUUGGAUUAGCUGGUUGGUAGGGUAAAAGCCUCCCAAGGCGACGAUCCAUAGCUGGUUUGAGAGGAUGAUCAGCCACACUUGGACUGAGACACGGCCCAGACUCCUACGGGAGGGAGCAGUGGGGAAUAUUGGACCAUGGGCGGAGGCAUGAUCCAGCAAUGCCGCGUGAGUGAUGAAGGCCUUAGGGUUGUAAAGCUUUUUUACCCGGGAUGAUAAUGACAGUACCGGGAGAAUAAGCUCCGGCUAACUCCGUG
rnacentral:rRNA from 1 species